rnacentral:lncRNA from 1 species
AAGCCCUUUAUCCCCCCAGAUUCCUGGAAUACCAAACACUUGGAAUGACCUGGAGCAUUCCUCUCAUCCAUCCAUCUAUCUGUCCCACACCGAGCUUGCCCAGACCAUCUGCAAGGUCGUGAUCCCCAGCACUGCUGAAAGCACGUGUAUGUGUAUGGGAGAUGUAUGGGUCUAGGCAGUCUGAGCGCCAAGCCAGCCAUCUGCUUCACAGAAUGCCACAUGUGCUCGUUGUUUUUAAAAGGGAAUGGAGCAAAACAACCCCUCGUGAGAUAACGGUCUGCAAAGUCCUCCAAAGUCGGCCCCAAAGAGCUGCAGCUCUCUGGUUGCUGGGGCAGGAAGGUGGCAUUACCCAUUGCUUGCUGACAUCCAAAGCACAUCUCAGCUGCGACCAGCUCCCUGUAGCAGCCCUUCCAUGACAGCUCCUCUAUGCUGGAAGGCUGCAGUCAUGCUCCUCUGCCUGCUGUCCUGGCCUAGAAUAAACGCAGCCGUCUCUUGUAGAUCACAGCUCCUCAGCCCCUUGUCACCCUCGAUGGUUGUCUCCAAGUUGUCCUCAUCUUUGUGCUUUUGCACACUGACAGGAAGCAUGUGCCUUCUUCAGCUGGGCUCCUGGCAGGCUUCCUUGGGCCUGCCAUCCCAUGGCCAGGGCAAGCCAGACAUUCCUGAGACGUCAGCAGCCUGACACAAGGCAGUGCAAUGGGACAGUUACUGGGAGGGACAGGAGCAAUGAUGCUUUUUCAUUUCUGCACAAGCACACACCCAUUUUUUCACUCUCCCUCUGGGACAUUUC